rnacentral:piRNA from 1 species
GCCUUGUGGCUCUGACCCCCAUC